GACGAACGCUGGCGGCGUGCUUAACACAUGCAAGUCGAACGGAAAGGCCCUGCUUUUGUGGGGUGCUCGAGUGGCGAACGGGUGAGUAACACGUGAGUAACCUGCCCUUGACUUUGGGAUAACUUCAGGAAACUGGGGCUAAUACCGGAUAGGAGCUCCUGCUGCAUGGUGGGGGUUGGAAAGUUUCGGCGGUUGGGGAUGGACUCGCGGCUUAUCAGCUUGUUGGUGGGGUAGUGGCUUACCAAGGCUUUGACGGGUAGCCGGCCUGAGAGGGUGACCCGCCACAUUGGGACUGAGAUACGGCCCAGACUCCUGCGGGAGGCAGCAGUGGGGAAUAUUGCACAAUGGGCGGAGGCCUGAUGCAGCAACGCCGCGUGCGGGAUGACGGCCUGCGGGUUGUAAACCGCUUUCGCCUGUGACGAAGCGUGAGUGACGGUAAUGGGUAAAGAAGCACCGGCUAACUACGUG
rnacentral:rRNA from 1 species